rnacentral:rRNA from 1 species
GAACGCUGGCGGCGUGCUUAACACAUGCAAGUCGAACGGUGACGAUGGGGCUUGCCCUGUCUGAUCAGUGGCGAACGGGUGAGUAACACGUGAGUAACCUGCCCCUCACUCUGGGAUAACCUCGGGAAAUCGUGGCUAAUACCGGAUAUGAGUUUCCACCGCAUGGUGGUUUCUGGAAAGUUUUUCGGUGAGGGAUGGACUCGCGGCCUAUCAGUUUGUUGGUGAGGUAAUGGCUCACCAAGGCGAUGACGGGUAGCCGGCCUGAGAGGGCGACCGGCCACACUGGGACUGAGACACGGCCCAGACUCCUACGGGAGGCAGCAGUGGGGAAUAUUGCACAAUGGGCGAAAGCCUGAUGCAGCGACGCCGCGUGAGGGAUGACGGCCUUCGGGUUGUAAACCUCUUUCAGCAGGGAAGAAGCGAGAGUGACGGUACCUGCAGAAGAAGCGCCGGCUAACUACGUGCCAGCAGCCGCGGUAAUACGUAGGGCGCAAGCGUUGUCCGGAAUUAUUGGGCGUAAAGAGCUUGUAGGUGGCUUGUCGCGUCUGCCGUGAAAACCCGAGGCUCAACCUCGGGCGUGCGGUGGGUACGGGCAGGCUAGAGUGUGGUAGGGGAGACUGGAACUCCUGGUGUAGCGGUGAAAUGCGCAGAUAUCAGGAAGAACACCGAUGGCGAA